rnacentral:rRNA from 1 species
CCCAGACUCCUACGGGAGGCAGCAGUGGGGAAUAUUGGACAAUGGGGGGAACCCUGAUCCAGCGACGCCGCGUGAGUGAAGAAGUAUUUCGGUAUGUAAAGCUCUCUCAGCAGGGAAGAAAGUGACGGUACCUGAGUAAGAAGCACCGGCUAACUCCGUGCCAGCAGCCGCGGUAAUAUGGAGGGUGCGAGCGUUAAUCGGAAUUACUGGGCGUAAAGCGCUCGUAGGCGGUAUGUCAAGUCAAGGGUGAAAUCCCCGCGCUCAACGUGGGAACUGCCUUUGAAACUGGCAAACUGGAGUGUGUGAGAGGAUAGUGGAAUUCCAGGUGUAGGAGUGAAAUCCGUAGAUAUCUGGAGGAACAUCAGUGGCGAAGGCGACUAUCUGGCACAUAACUGACGCUGAGGAGCGAAAGCGUGGGUAGCAAACAGGAUUAGAUACCCGGGUA